AUGGAUGCAAUGCAAAUAGGUCUACCAGUUUUGGGCAUUGUUGCAGCUGCAGUUGUGACCUUCUAUGCAGUGAGUUUCAAUGAGAUUAGAGAGAAAUCACUUCCAGAUUGGGAUGAAUCUGAAUCAGAAAAUGGAGCUUUUAGACGACCAUUCAGUUCCCGAAAGAGGCGAGCUAAGAGACAAGCUAGUAAAAAUAAAAAAACCUAA